rnacentral:rRNA from 1 species
AGAGUUUGAUCAUGGCUCAGGACGAACGCUGGCGGCAUGGAUUAGGCAUGCAAGUCGAACGAAAAGCAGGAGCUUGCUCCUGUGGACGAGUGGCGAAAGGGUGAGUAACGCGUGAGUAACCUGCCCUCAAGUUGGGGAUAACCUUUGGAAACGAAGGCUAAUACCGAAUGUGAAUAGUUUUCCGCAUGGAAUUCUAUUUAAAAAUUUAUUGCUUGAGGAUGGGCUCGCGUACCAUUAGCUAGUUGGUGUGGUAACGGCAUACCAAGGCGACGAUGGUUAGGUGGAUUGAGAGAUCGGUCACCCACACUGGGACUGAGACACUGCCCAGACUCCUACGGGAGGCAGC